rnacentral:rRNA from 1 species
GAUGAACGCUGGCGGCGUGCCUAAUACAUGCAAGUCGAGCGAAUGGAUUAAGGGCUUGCUCUUAUGAAGUUAGCGGCGGACGGGUGAGUAACACGUGGGUAACCUGCCCAUAAGACUGGGAUAACUCCGGGAAACCGGGGCUAAUACCGGAUAACAUUUUGAACCGCAUGGUUCGAAAUUGAAAGGCGGCUUCGGCUGUCACUUAUGGAUGGACCCGCGUCGCAUUAGCUAGUUGGUGAGGUAACGGCUCACCAAGGCAACGAUGCGUAGCCGACCGGAGAUGGGGAUCGGCCACACUGGGACUGAGAAACGGCCCAGACUCCUACGGGAGGCAGCAGUAGGGAAUCUUCCGAAAUGGACGAAAGUCUGACGGAGCAACGCCGCGUGAGUGAUGAAGGCUUUCGGGUCGUAAAACUCUGUUGUUAGGGAAGAACAAGUGCUAGUUGAAUAAGCUGGCACCUUGACGGUACCUAACCAGAAAGCCACGGCUAACUACGUGCCAGCAGCCGCAGUAA